GAUGAACGCUGGCGGCGUGCCUAAUACAUGCAAGUCGAGCGAACGGACGAGAAGCUUGCUUCUCUGAUGUUAGCGGCGGGCGGGUGAGUAACACGUGGAUAACCUACCUAUAAGACUGGGAGAACUUCGGGAAACCGGAGCUAAUACCGGAUAAUAUUUUGAACCGCAUGGUUCAAAAGUGAAAGACGGUCUUGCUGUCACUUAUAGAUGGAUCCGCGCUGCAUUAGCUAGUUGGUAAGGUAACGGCUUACCAAGGCAACGAUGCAUAGCCGACCUGAGAGGGUGAUCGGCCACACUGGAACUGAGACACGGUCCAGACUCCUACGGGAGGCAGCAGUAGGGAAUCUUCCGCAAUGGGCGAAAGCCUGACGGAGCAACGCCGCGUGAGUGAUGAAGGUCUUCGGAUCGUAAAACUCUGUUAUUAGGGAAGAACAUAUGUGUAAGUAACUGUGCACAUCUUGACGGUACCUAAUCAGAAAGCCACGGCUAACUACGUG
rnacentral:rRNA from 1 species